AACGAACGCUGGCGGCAUGCCUAACACAUGCAAGUCGAACGAGACCUUCGGGUCUAGUGGCGCACGGGUGCGUAACGCGUGGGAAUCUGCCCUUGGGUUCGGAAUAACAGCGAGAAAUUGCUGCUAAUACCGGAUGAUGACGUAAGUCCAAAGAUUUAUCGCCCAAGGAUGAGCCCGCGUAGGAUUAGCUAGUUGGUGAGGUAAAGGCUCACCAAGGCGACGAUCCUUAGCUGGUCUGAGAGGAUGAUCAGCCACACUGGGACUGAGACACGGCCCAGACUCCUACGGGAGGCAGCAGUGGGGAAUAUUGGACAAUGGGCGAAAGCCUGAUCCAGCAAUGCCGCGUGAGUGAUGAAGGCCUUAGGGUUGUAAAGCUCUUUUACCCGGGAUGAUAAUGACAGUACCGGGAGAAUAAGCUCCGGCUAACUCCGUGCCAGCAGCCGCG
rnacentral:rRNA from 1 species